UUAUCCAUUUCACUCAACAUCCUAUCAAUUUUCCAAGAGAUUGUUGAAGAACCAAGGUUUUAAUUGCUUCCUACCGAUUAUUUCGUCCAAGAAAAGGUGAAAUUUUGUGCGAGACGCGUGAUACCAAAGGAAAAGCGAAACUUGAAAACUAAAGGAUCGAGGUUGAGCGGCGACGGGCGGUUGGCGGUGUUGAGCAGGAACUAAUAAUGAACUGUGGUUGUUUUGGUUUUGAAAUUCCGAGUGUCGUUGUGUCUUCACACAUGACAUCACUCUUCUCUUGGAUGCUUCCGCUGUGAUAUUUUUCUUAGAAUACUUUUCAUUUAAAUUCUGAAACUAUUUUAUGAUGGGAUGUUUGAAACUCGUUACACUUUUUGAAUAAAUGCUAAACCCUAGUCUUUAUUCAUUAAA